AGGUAGCGCAAUCACUUGUCUUUUAAAUGAAGACCCGUAUGAAUGGCACGACGAGGGCUUAACUGUCUCCUUUUUCUAGUCAAUGAAAUUGAUCUCCCCGUGCAGAAGCGGGGAUAAGCACAUAAGACGAGAAGACCCUGUGGAGCUUUAGACAACGGGGUGGCCCCUGUCACCUCCCCUAGGGAGGAACUAGAUGGCCCCCAUCCCACUGUCUUUGGUUGGGGCGACCGCGGGGAAACAUACACCCCCCACGUGGAACGAGAGUACUCCUCUUGUAACUGAGAGCCACAGCUCUAACUACCAGAACUUCUGACCAACAAGAUCCGGCAAUGCCGAUCAACGGACCGAGUUACCCCAGGGAUAACAGCGCAAUCCCCUUUUAGAGCCCAUAUCGACAAGGGGGUUUACGACCUCGAUGUUGGAUCAGGACAUCCUACUGGUGCAGC
rnacentral:rRNA from 1 species